rnacentral:lncRNA from 1 species
CAGUCAUAAGCCUUGAUAGGUAACUGUUUAUUGGUCUGCUUAGGUAGUUAGGGUAGGAAAUACAGUAGGAAAUACAAUGAUGGUUUUAACUAAGCAUGUGUUAGUGAUUAUAAUAACACAACAUAGUCUAAUGUAGACUUAAUUAAAAAUUAUGAGAAUCAUUAGCUUAUAAUUUACUUCAAAGCAUCCUUCAAAUUUACAG